AGUUUUAUUUUAAUCCCAAUCUACAUGAAUAUGAUGAAUAUGAGUUUACCAUUAUAAUCACACGCAAUUUGUUUACUAUGAAGUUAUGCAGGUCAUGUGUUAUGUUGUGUGGGUCAGAUAAGCCAUCUGUGUGGAUUUAAGAACAGCUGUGUGUAGUCAUGUUUCAGGGCACAAAGGAUUGUAGUAUUAGCAAAUAGCCAAGGGUCAAAUAGGUCAAGGAAAGGAGACACUGGUCUGGUCUGGGGACUGUCAUGUGAUUCUUCAAGUUACAAGCCUGAACAGAAACAUAUUGUUAAAGCAUAUGGAGGGGAGGGACAAAGACCAUAUAUAUUUACCAAGCCUGGCUUGGAGGGUCAGACUGAUUUGGGGAAUCCUCCCAGGACGCUGGUUCUGGGGGGGUUAACCAGGGGAGUCUCGGCUUUUUAUUUGUCCGGAUAAUAAAAGUCUAUCUCUUGAAAUCAAAACCUAAGACUGAAGAUUGUUUCAUUGGAGGAAAAUGAAAACCACAUCAUUUGGUGCCGAAACCCGGGAUAGACAGGAGCUGGACAGUCACACCACAUGGGCGAACCUGACGAGCAACACAAACAGUGUAUGGCCAUAUACAAGUUAUUUGUGUACAGAAAAAGCUGAAAGGAGUUGAGGAGGACAUGAGACAACAGGACUUGAUGAGUGCGAGAUGAUCUAGCUUAUCCGAGGUUCGAGAGGUCGGAGGAGGCCAAACACUAACUGGGGGAGACAGGAUGAGACCAGUCCCAGAAUGUCCAAGUGGGAGGAGCAGCCAAUGUAGCAGAGCUCAUAAGAAGGAGAGAAGGAGAAAGAAUGCCAAUGAUAUGAAAGAAGAAACAUCAAAACCAAAUCAAAGUAAAAGCAAUUCAAGUAUACCGAUGGAUGGAGAGCAAAGUUUUGAGCACCGAGAGGAAAAAGUGAAAAAGAGAAAUUGUCAAAUGAAAAAAAAAAAAAAAAAAAAAAAAAAAACGAAACUGAUUACUACAGAAGAUUUGCAUUGCUACAGUCAAUUAAAGAACGAAGCCGAUUACUACAGAAGAUUUGCAUUGCUACAGUCAAUUAAAGAACGAAACCGAUUACUACAGAAGAUUUGCAUUGCUACAGUCAAUUAAAACUUCCUGGCGAUGGACUAUUGCUGAAAGAUCUGCAACAAUAUCAAAGGAACAGAAUCUGAAAGAAAGACUGAAAACAGAGACAUUGAACUGAGAACAUAAUGUGGACAUUUUAUGGGAAACAUUCCAAAGAUAACAAAUGAUACAAAUGGGGAAUAUUUACAGUUAAGGAAAUAUGUUUACAAAGUUGCUUUUUAGGCUUUAAACUAAACUAGAUUUCAAUAAUGCAAUAACAUUUUCAAGUCCACAUAAAUAGGGUGAUAAAUUCAACAAGAAUUCUUAUGGAUAAGAGAAAAAGUUAAGGUCAACUUAUCUUGAUAAUAUUUAGGUCAUUUGGGAAAAUCUGAGUUUAAAAAUACAUUUUGCAGGCCACACUUUGGAUAUUUGUGUCAAUGGUAUAGUAACAAAACAUUAAAAAUAGGAACAGGAAGGAUAGAAAUUUCAGAAUGAUACAUACAAGAAAAUGUAAACCUUAUGGAAUUAUAGAAUUAGGAAAAGUCAAUAUGAAAUGCUUUAUAACAGGAAUCUUGAACGAAUCAACUAUAAAACUCUAGACAUAUUAUGAAGACAUCAAAGAGUCUAGCUUAAGGUGUAAAAGUGAGAAGAGAGAUGCUAUAAGAAGAAUAGUAUAAUCAAAUCAGAGCAAUAUUUGAAGAUCAAAUAUAUCGAUUGGAAAAUUAUUUUGGAGUUGUAGAAAAAGAAAAUGUUUAACCUCGUUAUCAUUAGGAUGGAGAGAAAAGGUACUUAAAUAUAAUGGUAACAUGGAAAUCAGUACAAUAGAAGGGAAUUCGGAAUCCUCAUUAAAGGAUGACAAAAACAAUUAAUCAAAAUUAUAUGUAGAUUCUGUCAAUCAACCAAAUGGGUACCAAAUUAGAUUAAGGUAUGGGAUUAAGCGAAAUACGGAAUUUAGUAAAGUUUUGUCAGAAUAAAAAUACAGAAUAAAUGAAUUAUGUACGGUACUACAAUCAAAAGUAGAUUAUUAAGUUUACCAAUAAGGCAUUCAUUUAUUUUAGGAAAACAACUAGAUGAAGCCAGUAGAAAUACAAGACAUAUUCUGAAUACAUUUUAAUCAGAAGUUAAUGAAAUCAAACAAAAGUUAAAAUAUUAGGAGGAUGGAAAAAUUAAUUUUAAAUCAACAAGAAUGGUAUCAGAACUUACGUUACAAAAUAGUAUUGAAUUCACAACGGGUAGAUAAUAUUCAAGAACCUUUGAUGAUGAUGAUGAUGAUGAUGAUGACGAAGAAGAGGAAUAAGCUGUAUUUGUAUUGAAACAAAUAUUUCGUAUUAUGAAUGAUUUACUUUUUGUUUUUAUUUUCAGUAAUUUUGUUUUAUUUGCUUUUUGGUUUUCUUUGCUUUUAUUUUUGUUUCCUUUUAACUAUUACAAUAUAUUCUACAUAACUGUGACAACCAACAGCAGGUGCAGAACCAAUUGCACACAUUUUUAAACUGUUUAUAAAGAGGGGCUUUAAGUUCUUUUACUUUUACAUUCAAAGACAAAACAAGAAUGGAAAGAGGUUUGCUCUUAUUGUCCAUAGUUCGAAGUGCAGUGGCAUAAUUUAGUAAUUGGUAAGGUAUAGUGGCUUUCUUUAGCCACAAGAUAUUAAUAAUUGAAACGCUGAAUUAUGAAACUGCACUCCGGAUUAAAAUAAACAGGAAAGGUGAGGCUAAAUUAAGCCUCAGAGCGGGGAUUAUGAAGAAGUUUUAUUUUAAUCCCAAUCUACAUGAAUAUGAUGAAUAUGAGUUUACCAUUAUAAUCACACGCAAUUUGUUUACUAUGAAGUUAUGCAGGUCAUGUGUUAUGUUGUGUGGGUCAGAUAAGCCAUCUGUGUGGAUUUAAGAA